rnacentral:rRNA from 1 species
CAUGCAGUCGAGCGGCAGCGGGAAAGUAGCUUGCUACUUUUGCCGGCGAGCGGCGGACGGGUGAGUAAUGCCUGGGAAAUUGCCCAGUCGAGGGGGAUAACAGUUGGAAACGACUGCUAAUACCGCAUACGCCCUACGGGGGAAAGCAGGGGACCUUCGGGCCUUGCGCGAUUGGAUAUGCCCAGGUGGGAUUAGCUAGUUGGUGAGGUAAUGGCUCACCAAGGCGACGAUCCCUAGCUGGUCUGAGAGGAUGAUCAGCCACACUGGAACUGAGACACGGUCCAGACUCCUACGGGAGGCAGCAGUGGGGAAUAUUGCACAAUGGGGGAAACCCUGAUGCAGCCAUGCCGCGUGUGUGAAGAAGGCCUUCGGGUUGUAAAGCACUUUCAGCGAGGAGGAAAGGUCGGUAGCUAAUAACUGCUGGCUGUGACGUUACUCGCAGAAGAAGCACCGGCUAACUCCGUGCCAGCAGCCGGGGUAAUACGGAGGGGUGCAAGCGUUAAUCGGAAUUACUGGGCGUAAGGCGCACGGCAGGCGGUUGGAUAAGUUUAGAUGUGAAA